rnacentral:tRNA from 1 species
CAAAAAGUAGCUUACAACAAAGCAUUCGACUUACACUCGAAAGACAUUCCAAUAAAUCUUUUUGA